rnacentral:lncRNA from 1 species
CGUCUGCAAGAUCAAUUGGUGAUGGUGAUGCUGUUGAGCUUCUGGUUUCUUUGAGUUCUUCUAGUAAUUUGUCAUAUUCUUUUUCUGAGGUACAAGCUGCCAUUUGUGCCAGUAACUGUUGUUUUCGGGCUAAGAAAAUCUCAUGUUUGGUUAUGGUAGAUGGGCUUGGAGUCUUGCUGUAUUGUGGAUGGUCAAGGAAGAAUUGUUCUAUGGCUUGUGGGCCGCAGGCCUGCAAAUUGGUUUUAUUCCACCAUUUAAUUUUAUAUCUGCGGA